GUAAAAAUAAAAUGAAGUCUCUAUCUGUAAAACCAGGCAGAAGGGGAGAGUGAGAAAUGAAAGAGGAUCUGGUCAGAGAGAAUCUGGAGGGGAGCUUCUUGCAUGUUGUUCUCACUCUUAUCCCUCCCUCUCUGUCCCCCUGUCUAGACCCUCCAUAUUUCUGCUCUCUAGGGCUCCUGACAGAGGGAGCCUCAAGGCUGGCCACUCACGCUUGGGGCAGCCUGUGGGCCCUGCGCUCUGCCGCACCCCUAGUUAGCAGGAAGGUUGAAGCUGGUUCAGUGAAGAGUGCUGGUCUCCACAGACCCAGCUGUGAGCACCUGCUUGCAGGGAGGCCCAGGCGGGUGGGGAAGUCUAGGAGAUAAAUUUAGUCUGAAGGCUGCUGCUUAUCGAAUGGGUAGUUACCCUGGGGAAGCUGGGAGGGGCGAGAGGAGAGGAAUUCUGACCCAGCUGAACUGAGACCUCACAAGUUCACCCCCAAGUACAGAUACAGAACCACAAUCCCCUUCCCCCAGCAAGCACUCAGAAAUGACGCUGGCCAGUUUCUGCACACUUGAUCUCUCUUGUGCAUACCAAGAUUAUUCCUAUAACCUCCCCACCCCCACCUCAAUUCUCAGAGGUCCACUUCCUCUGCGUCCUUCCCUAAAUUCCCCCCAGUAUGCCAGACCUCGGGGCCACUCUACCACAUCUCUCUGGCCUUGGCUCACAGCUUCCUCUCUCCCAAGUCCCUCUAGAGGGUUUCAGAGGUCAAAGGAGAGGUGUCUGGCCACACUACUCCCCUAGAAGGGACUAAGAAAAGGGGUUGCUCCGGGUCAAAGUCCCCUUCCUGAAAGCUUCCACACUGACCCCAUACUGACUUCAUGACCAGAGGAAAGAACCCUUAGGGGCUGCACUGAAUCCUAGCUUUAAAGUGAAAGGGGAGGGGGCAACCCCCCAAACGAAAACCCAUAUUCUGAGAAGUCAGAGGCUGGUGGCUGUCAGGGAGCUCAGGGGCAGCCACAAAGAGCAGGGAGGUGCCGAAGCUGGGGGUGCCCCAAGAGGGGCUGCGGCUGCGAUCCCCACCUGUGAUUGGUUCUCAGACUCGGGCCAAACUCCAAACCUGCCCAGCAACAGCCCUAAGAGGCCCUAAGAGGGAGGGGAACUUCGGAGAAGUCAGCUGAGCUGGGGCCACCACCCAGGCUGCAGCUUCCAGGAAUCGCUGGGAGGGCCCCAGCUAGUCACUGCCACCCCCGCCCUCGGUCUUGGGACACCGCCUUCUGCCCUCUGUAUCUACUGGGCUGGGGCAGAGCCCACUUCCCUCCCUGAUCCUCCCCAUCUCUGAUCCCCUUACAGGUUCACCCAGAGACAGAAGAAUAUGUCUAAUAGCUCCUCUUAAGGCAGAACAGAGACACCGAGACUGCACUUGCCCUCUUCCUCACUCCUUCCCCCAGGACACAGGGACCCCCAGGAAAUCUGGCUUCCAGAAGCAGAGAUCUGGAACUCAGACCUCAGAAUUGCAGAGGUCCGUACUGUGGAAUAAGCUGCCCGCUCUCAUACCACCUUUAGCAAGCUAUUUACCUUGAGCGAUGACAAGACCGCAGGAAGGGAGACUAGCAUGAUGCAUCUCUGAAGAAUGUCUCUGGCAGGACAUCCAGUACUGCCUUGGCUCCACCCUCGACCCCGCCCUAAGUCCCCUAGAGCCGGGCCAGGCCAGGCUCCUCCUCCUCCAGUCCUUUCCGCAGAGGGAAGCAGGGAGGGGCAGAAGUCACUUCCUUUGCCCCACCCUAGCAAAAGCAAUAAACCGAGAGCUUAAUGCGGAAAUGGGAAAUGAGGGCAGAAAAGAUGGGUGAAGCAGGCAGGGAGGGCCAAAGAAAAGAGAACAGGAGAAAAGACCCCUGCAAAGCCAACUGCUAUUCAGCUCAGCCCCAGACGGAAAGCAGGGCUACUGGAUUCGAAGAGACUUUACAGAAAGACUCAGUCUAUGGAGAAACCCACCACAGGCCAUGCAGUUUUUCCUCAGCGCUGGAACCAAGCUCCCAACUCCAUACCUAAAGUGGGAGAAGUGGUGACCUCUAGUGGUCGAUGGCCAACCUGCAGGGCCUAUGGUUGGCCAGGAUCCCCUCCCGGGAUUGGGGCUCACUUAACAUCCUAUCUGGGCCCAAACUCUCUCUGCCUGGGCUAUAGGUACUAUUCCCCCUUCCCACCGCUCAUUCUGACCUCACACUGCUUGUUUAGGGCCCAGGUGAAUGGGUUCCCAUCAGGACAAUAAAGAGCCUGUUUCUCA